ACGAAUGUGAUAAUGAAAAAAAGAUUGCUUCUUUGCCUAGAACAACUGAAGCCAUUUUUUUUUUUUUAAUUUCUCUGGUUAUUUCUUGUCUGUCUGUGGCAUCUACACCAGUUCUUGAACCUAGAGUACUUUGGUCAGAGUAAUUAAUGAACACUUGAGAAAGGAGUCAUAUAGUGACCAGAAAUCACCUAGCAUUUUGUGAGGUGUUUUGUUUUGUUUUGUUUUAGGAGACACUAUGAUAUAAUUAAACACAUACUUGUGAACAGAAACUACAGCCAGGAACCUAUACUGCUUAUCAUGACAUGAGAUUGAUCCUAACAGAAAGUGUUUUGCUUUCUUGCCAAGUUCUUGAUCUUACAAUUUCAUCAUCCAGAAGACUACUGGUAAGUUCAACCAAUUUCCUACUGAUUUAGUCAAAUAUGGAUUCAGGUAUUGGUCUAUUAUUAUCUUUUUAUCUAUUCAUUCUAUUAGUGGGCAUAAAAUUAUUAGUAUUUUUCUUGGUGAAUACAAAUGCUUGAAUUUGGAAUUGUUAACAUUAUGGGACAGUGAAAUAAGAAAUACUAAAUACAUAUCAGUGGGUUCCAAUAAACUUGUCUUAAAAAUACAAUAAAAAUUCAGCAUUAAAAAGGAAUAUUAAAUCUCUUUCACAUGAAUAUUACUGUCAUUCUCAAAAAUUUCCUCUCACAAGACUAUUUUUCCAUCAAUAUGACCAAUAUUUCCAUGUUUAUGUUUUGUUUUCCUCACUGAUCCUUGUUUUCUAUAUGAGAAACAAUUUUGAUAUCUAUUUUCAUUACCUCCUAUCAAAUUAAGUCCAUAUCAUCCCAAUGUGAGAUAAUGAGAUAGGUUAAGAACAAGUUUGUCAAUUCUGUGUGCAG
rnacentral:lncRNA from 1 species